rnacentral:rRNA from 1 species
AUGGUGGUCAUCUUGCCGUCCAUGCUGUGUGCGCUCGUUUGCGUCCUUGGACUCGCUCUCGCCUCCCGGUGCGCAUGCCGACGCCGACACUCCAGCCCCAGUUCCUCCUCCAACCCAUUCCCGAAGGGCCUCAAGAAGAAGGCCAUCGACGCGCUCCCCACCAUCUCCUUCGCCGCAACCGCUUCACUGCAGCCGGCAGCAACAGAGUGUGCGAUAUGCCUGGCUGAGUUCGUGGAGGGGGAGGUCGUGCGUGUUCUCCCGCGCUGCGGCCACACCUUCCAUGUUCUCUGCAUCCACGCUUGGCUCCGGACCUGCGCCACCUGCCCCUCUUGUCGCGCCUCCAUCGCUGCUGCUCCAGCCCCUGCACCUACGCUAGUGGUCGUAGUGGCAGGGAACAACAGGUGCGGGAGGUGCGGCAAGGCGGCCGCCCUGGCUGGUGGUGGAGAUAGCACGUUCUUGCCUUAA